CAGUGGUGACAAGAAGUACAUUCGGAAUUACAUGCCAGUCUAUAUGACUGUAUUAUUCUGAGCGAAAGUCCCUGGGUCAUUGAACUGAAAGAGUUGCAGCGUAAGUGCUGCCGUGCGGUUUUAGAAUUAUGUUCACAGAUGUGUUACGUCAUGAAGCACAUCAAGUGUGGAGCUAUCAUAUCUGGUACCGUUUUCACCGAAAGCAAAGUGACGUACAAAUUUAACAGCAUAGGGCUCACUCUGUCGACCACU
rnacentral:RNase_MRP_RNA from 1 species